rnacentral:rRNA from 1 species
GACGUAGGGCGCGAGCGUUGUCCGGAUUUAUUGGGCGUAAAGAGCUCGUAGGCGGCUUGUCGCGUCGAAUGUGAAAUCUCAGGGCUCAACUCUGACAUUGCAUUCGAUACGGGCAGGCUAGAGUUCGGUAGGGGAGACUGGAAUUCCUGGUGUAGCGGUGAAAUGCGCAGAUAUCAGGAGGAACACCGGUGGCGAAGGCGGGUCUCUGGGCCAUAACUGACGCUGAGGAGCGAAAGCGUGGGGAGCGAACAGG